rnacentral:rRNA from 1 species
UACGUAGGGUGCGAGCGUUGUCCGGAAUUAUUGGGCGUAAAGGGCUCGUAGGCGGUUUGUCACGUCGGGAGUGAAAACUCGGGGCUCCAACCCCGAGCCUGCUUCCGAUACGGGCAGACUAGAGGUAUGCAGGGGAGAAUGGAAUUCCUGGUGUAGCGGUGAAAAUGCGCAGAUAUCAGGAGGAACACCGGUGGCGAAGGCGGCGCUCUGGAACAUUUCUGACGCUGAGGCUCGAAAGCGUGGGGAGCAAACAGG